AUUGAACGCUGGCGGCAGGCCUAACACAUGCAAGUCGAGCGGAUGAAGGGAGCUUGCUCCUGGAUUCAGCGGCGGACGGGAGAGUAAUGCCUAGGAAUCUUCCUGCUAUUGGCUGAGAACGUCCGAAAACGGGCGCUAAUACGACAUACGUCCUGAGCGAGCAGCAGGGGGAUCGUCAGACCCCACUGCCUCAGAUGAGCCUAGGUCGGAUUCGCUAGUUGGUGGGGGAAAGGCCUACCAAGGCGACGAUCCGUAACUGGUCUGAGAGGAUGAUCAGUCACACUGGAACUGAGACACGGUCCAGACUCCUACAGGAGGCAGCAGUGGGGAAUAUUGGACUAUGGGCGAAAGCCUCAUCCAGACGUGCCGCGUGUGUGAAGAAGGUCUUCGGAUUCUAAAGCCCUGUAAGUUGGGAGGAAGGGCAGUAAGUUAAUAACUUGCUGUUUUGACGUUACCAAAAGACUAAGCACCGGCUAACUUCGUG
rnacentral:rRNA from 1 species